rnacentral:lncRNA from 1 species
UUGAUAUGAGUUUGCCCCAUGGGUCAUAGAGGUAGGCCGCAGGUGGUGACAACCCUGUUAGUCCUUUGUAAUCCUUCACGUUCCGGUAUGCUGUAGGAGUUCGUAAAUUAGUAGUAACUUUGCUAGGCGAAACCAGUACGGGUGUAUAGGCCUGAGUUCUAUACAAUGUGUAUGUAUGUUAUGCUUGUAUGAUUAGUGCAUUAUAAAGGAAGUACAUAUGAACCUAGAGCUAACUCUUAGUCCU